ACAGUUAGAACUGAAGACUGAGGGUGGCACUUUGUGGGCACCUCUCAGAGCCCCUCCAGUCCAUGCCCACCUGGCCAUGCAUAGCAGCACCUGGAGUCUUACCCUCAAGGUUGCAAGACAGCUGCAUGUGUUCCAGGCACCACAUCUCCACUGAAGGCAAGAAGGGGAAGAGGUGGUGGUCUUCUACGUCUCUUCUAACAGGAAAAAAAAGGCUUCCCAGAAACACGUGCCAGCGGACUCUGCCUUGCAUUCUGUUGACCAGCUCUGCCACAUGGCCACCCCCUGCAAGACGCUCUCAUUCCUCACUUUCUGCUCUAGGAGGGGUCAAGACAGAAGCCUCUCCCCUGGGUGUACCCAGCCGUGCUUCCUGCUCCAGCCUGCGUCCAUCAGCUGCAGCUCCAGGCUCCGAUAGCAGCUUCAGCAGGAUGGCGAGUGACCUCCUGCACAAACCGCCUUCAUCUCCAUCACCUGCAUCUCCCAAGAGGCAGCUAGUUUGCCAAAGGUACCAGGAAGCUCACCUCCAGAAGGCUUGCCCAGUACUAAUUCUGAUGCACAGGCAGCUCCCAACACUUCAGGUUUCUGUAAAGCCCCAAAGCCAGCACAAGAUGAUUUAAUUACCACGUGAAUGAGUCAAAAAACAGAUGCGAGGUUUCCAGAAAUGCCUGCAAGUGCUUAGUAAGUAGCCACAAUUGAUAGAGAAAUUGCAAAGACACGCUGGAAACAAAGGCUGGCUCAAGGCACAGUCACAGCCCGAAAAGUGCUGUCAACAGAGGGGUACUCCUACCCACUAACCCCCACCCCCACCCCAGUCCUGUUAAAUGCAGAGAGCUGGGAAAUCGUCUGUAAUAGUCUGGCCCACGUGAACUGCAAUUAGCAGCAACAAGCACCACCCACAGACUCCCCGGGAACGUGCUCAUGGUUAAUCGAUUCGAUUGAUCACUGUUUAUUAAGCAAAAACCUGCUUUCUAAACUGUUCUUCCCUAAAUGGUGUUUUUGUUUUUGUUUUUUUCCCCAGUCUGCUAGAAAAUAGGAGACUAAUUAGAGCUUUUAAUUUAAAUCCAAGCAGGGAGAUGCGAGCAUGUACUACGGGAAAAGCAUUAGGAGGCGGGGAGGAGAUGAGGAGCCCCGCCCCCAGCUCCCCAGAGCAGCAACGGUAGCGCUAACACGCUCCCAUAAAGACCUCCCGAAUCCGCAUUUCACUCUUCAGAUCAAGAAGCCACUGGGACCAGGUCAGACGAGAGCAUCAGGAAGGCAGCCCACUGAUAAUAUAGAUUAUGGGAGUGUUUGGGUCGCACCAGUGCUGUGAAAUUGAUCGGCUCCAUUCAGCACCUUGCGAAUCAACAGAGGAAAUCAAUGGUUGGCAGACGGUGUGGAGGAUUGAAUUCUGAGGCACGACCACUAUAUAACAUAAUCACCCGGAUCCUUCUCGUUGCCCUGACCAGGGCUUCACUGGAAAUGCCACACAAAACAGACUCAGCUGUUUUCAUUUCACUCCCUGAUACACGUCCAUACCAGCCAGGCUCUCUGCCUAUGAUGAGCAAUGCAGGACUGGAAGAAAAACCUGGCUUCCUUCUGUGUCGUAACUCCCAUCACAAGCCUUUGUCUAACACAGUCAGGCACAGGGCUUAGAAAGAUGGGUUCCUUGGUCGCUGGUGGAGAACAUGCACCUCCCUUCUGUGUUCAAAGCAAGUUCUGGUUCAAAAAGAAAGCUUGGCCUCCAGGAGCUGUCAGCGACCCCACACUCUAGGUCACACAUAGCAGGUGAGGGAACCUCUUCCUUCCCUUAGCAACCUCAUCUGAUAGCAGCCAAUGAGAGUGGCCCCAGUCCCCACAUCCCACUGCACCUGAUCGGCCAGUCAUCAAGCCGGACAGAGAAAGCUGGCCUUAGGGUCAGCUGAUAGACUAAAUGGCAUUGCAAGGGAUUGCAGUUGAAGGGAAGGGAUGAAAAAAUGCAUAAAAAUGCCAGGUGCCUCUGCGAACACCUAGGAGCUCGGAAGAGAGAGUGCUGGGGCCACAGAAGCUGCCAGCUUCGCUUGGGUCAGGUCCCUUUCACUUUCUGUUUCAGAAUAUGUUGUGAUUUGUUUUAAUCAGGGAUGGUAAGACACAGAGCCAGACAUGUAAGAAGCUGUUAUGGAGCUUGGAAUAGACAUGUCCGCACUACUAUACUGAAAACAGAUAACCAACAAGGCCCGACUGUAUAACGCAUGGAACUCUGCCGAAUGUUAUGCGGCAGGCUGGACGAGAGGGGAGCUUGGGGGAGAAUGGAUGCAUGUAUACGUAUGGCCGAGCCCUUUGCUGUUCACCUGAAAUUAUUACAAACUGGAGUUUGUUUGUUAAUUGGCUAUAUCCCAAUCCAAGUGAAAGUUGCUCAGUCAUGUCCGACUCUUUGUGACCCAUGGACUAUAC
ensembl:lncRNA